rnacentral:rRNA from 1 species
UACAGAGGUCUCAAGCGUUGUUCGGAUUCAUUGGGCGUAAAGGGUGUGUGGGUGGCGCGCUAAGUCGGGUGUGAAAUUUCGGAGCUUAACUCCGAAACUGCAUUCGAUACUGGCGUGCUUGAGGACUGGAGAGGAGACUGGAAUUCAUGGUGUAGCAGUGAAAUGCGUAGAGAUCAUGAGGAAGACCAGUGGCGAAGGCGGGUCUCUGGGCCGAUACUGACGCUGAGGAGCGAAAGCGUGGGGAGCGAACAGG